CGCGUAGGCGGCCUUUUAAGUCAGAUGUGAAAGCCCGGGGCUUAACCCCGGAAGUGCAUUUGAAACUAAAGGGCUUGAGUAUGGGAGAGGGAAGUGGAAUUCCUGGUGUAGCGGUGAAAUGCGUAGAUAUCAGGAGGAACACCGGUGGCGAAGGCGACUUCCUGGACCAAUACUGACGCUGAGGCGCGAAGGCGUGGGUAGCAAACA
rnacentral:rRNA from 1 species